rnacentral:rRNA from 1 species
CUAGCGGCGUCCCUAACACAUGCAAGUCGAACGAGAAAUCUCGGGCAACUGAGAGAGUAAAGUGGCGCACGGGUGAGUAACGCGUGGGUAAUCUGCCUUGGAGUUUGGAACAACACCUCGAAAGGGGUGCUAAUACCUGAUAUUAUUCCCGAGACUCUGGUCUUGGGGAUGAAAGAUGGCUGAGGCUUGCAAGCUAUUGCUCCAAGAUGAGCCCGCGUACCAUUAGCUAGUUGGUAGGGUAACGGCCUACCAAGGCAAUGAUGGUUAGCUGGUCUGAGAGGAUGGCCAGCCACACUGGAACUGAGAUACGGUCCAGACUCCUACGGGAGGCAGCAGUGAGGAAUCUUGCGCAAUGGGGGCAACCCUGACGCAGCAACGCCGCCUUGAGUGAUGAAGGCCUUCCGGUCCUUAAACCUCUGU